AACGAACGCUGGCGGCAGGCCUAACACAUGCAAGUCGAACGCCCCGCAAGGGGAGUGGCAGACGGGUGAGUAACACGUGGGAACAUGCCCUUCGGUUCGGAAUAACUCAGGGAAACUUGAGCUAAUACCGGAUACGUCCGAGAGGCGAAAGAUUUAUCGCCGAAGGAUUGGCCCGCGUCUGAUUAGCUUGUUGGUGAGGUAACGGCUCACCAAGGCGACGAUCAGUAGCUGGUCUGAGAGGAUGAUCAGCCACACUGGGACUGGGACACGGCCCAGACUCCUACGGGAGGCAGCAGUGGGGAAUAUUGGACAAUGGGCGCAAGCCGGAUCCAGCCAUGCCGCGUGAGUGAUGACGGCCCUAUGGUUGUAAAGCUCUUUUGCCUGGGAAGAUAAUGACGGUACCAGGAGAAUAAGCCCCGGCUAACUUCGUGCCAGCCGCCGCAGUAA
rnacentral:rRNA from 1 species